rnacentral:rRNA from 1 species
UUGAGAGGGUAAGGCUCCCAGUAGACGACUGGGUUGAUAGGCCGGAUGUGGAAGCCUGGUAACGGGUGAAGCUGACUGGUACUAAUAGGCCGAGGGCUUGUCCUCAGUUG